AUGAUUAUUGGAUGGGGGCAGAGUGCCUUUGCUUUCCCCCCCUCCUCCUGUUAUGCAUGCCCCUGUGGCUGAUAAAACCAUGCAAUUUUCCUGUGUUUUUGUCAGCAGCGAGGUUGCAAGUGAGAGUCAGCACCAGAGAGAGAAGCUGAAUUUUCCAUCUUUGCUCUUCUUUUCUUUCCCCUUUUGUGUGUGUUUGCUUGUUUUGUGCUCUAGAAUACAGGACUGGACUUUAACAACAGCAAUGACAACAGCUGGAGCCCAUCUCAAUCAACUUCUCUUUUUUCCAAAAGCGGUAUCUAGAGACUCCUGCCACAAUUGGGGCCAUAUCGUGCUAGGUGAUGUAUAAGCACAUAAUAAGAGACAGUCCCUACCUCAAAUUGUCUAAAAUGUGCACAGUCACUUGUUUCCUUCGCAUAGCGGGAUGAAGGAGAUGGAAGCACAGUAGCAGCUAUUCCCUGCUGCCUCUCACAGGAUCCUGUCCAAACAUAUCUACUUCUGGGAGAAGGAAGAGGCUUACUGUUGAACAGGCAGAUAAAAGGGGCUGUGCAUAUCAAUUAAGACAAUCAGUAGGUUUUAUUUACAACAAUUUUAGCCAACACUUUUUGGCAGAACUCACCCAAAUCUAGUGCAAACCUCACAAAUGAAGAGAUUUGUUUCUAUUCUGGAACGCUCACUUCUUGAGAAAAAGGUCUAUUAACCUUUUUAAAAUAAGGAAACUUACAGUGAAAUAGGAGAAGUGGCACUUGCAUAGUUUAUCAUGUCCCUCAUGGAAGUUCUAUGGAAAUCAUCUCUAAUAAAUAGAAUUUCACCACUCUGACGUGGUAAU